UUUGCGAAAAAAGCAUUUUUUUGAUGAAAAUAAAAAUUGAAAAGAAAAUACAGCAUAUACUCGGAUAUAAGUAAGAACUAGUUGUUUCAGGAAUAGGUAUAAGAUGAGGUAUAAGGCAAGAGUAUAAAGUAAUUUUGUGUUUGGUUGAGUAUUGGGUUUAGUCCAAAUAUAAACAAAAUAGUAUUUGGUUGGAUUAAAUAGAAUAAGAAGGAUAGCGGAUGGUAUAAAUAGAAAAUAAUGAUAUUGCGCUAGCUCUUUAUUAUAUUUGAAUUAAAAUUUUAGAUUUUAUAUUUAAAACUUUAAAUUUAAAUAUAUAACUCUUAAAUUUUAAAAAUACAAACUUAAAAUUUAAAUUUUAAAAUCUCAAAUUCAAAUUUCUAAAUUUUUAAUUUCAAAAUUUUUAAUUUCAAAUUUUAAAUAUUUAAGAUCAAAUCUAAAUUUAUAAAUAUAAAAUUUCAAAUUUAAAAAAUUAAAUAUAUCAAUUUAAAAUUGAAAUUUUAAAUUUUAAAUUUUAAAAUUUAGAAUUUAAAAUUAUAAAUUUUAAUUUUAAGAUUACAAAUUAUAAAUGUUUAAAAUUUAUAAUUUAAAAUUUAAAUUUUGAAAUUUAAAUUUAUAAAUUAAAUAGGGAUGGAAAUAGCUAUUCUCAUCCCUAUUNCCCACCUCUUUUUUUUUUUUUUUUUUUUUUUUUUUUUAGGUAUAAGGGAAGGGAUAACCACUUAUACCUAGACAGAAGACUUUAUUCCAGUUUUCGCUUUAUCCAUCAUCCACAGACCAUAGUUUUGGAAAAGAAAACUUUGCCUGGCAAAGCUUUCUGUCACUAUUCCAUUGGCUAAAAUAAAGAAAUCUAGCUGGCUAGCAAUGUUAUUGGCCUGUCUAAAGCAUGACAGCCAGCCAGCAAGGAUACCUAAAAUAAUCCUGAGAAGAAUUAAAAAAAAAAAAAAAAGAAGUAAAAGCAAGACUGCCUUCCAAAACAUCACUUUCCUACCUCUUGAAAGAAACCCACCCAUAAUAGGGUGGAGGAAACCCACUAACUCAAAGUUUAAUAAUAAAACAGCAACAAUGUUGAGUUGAUAUUCUAAGACCCCAAAAAAAAAAAAAAAAGGAAAAAGGAAAAAAAAAACUCUCCUCCUACCAUCUUUCCAAAAAGGGGCAAAGAAGAUUAAAGUUGGGGGGUGGGGGGCUCAAACCCUAAUUACUCAAUCACAUCAGAGGAACUAAUUGGCAACAACAUCUUUACACCACCAUUCACUCAUCUUCCAUUCUCUUUGUAAAGAACAAAAGAAGGUAUCUUCUUCUUUCUCUCUCUCUAGAUUUGGAUUCUAAUAAGUCUCUCUCCUUUUUAUAUGUUAUUCCCAUGGGAGAUAUUGUUGGCAAUAGUUGUGCAGUGAUGUUUGUCCUUUUUUUUUUAAAAGCAUUUGCACUGUACAUAGUACAAACUAUGCAAAUGAAACAUAAUAAUUGAGGGCACCAGGAUCUGUGCAUAUAUGUAUGUGUAGUUUUUAUCUUCUAGAUCAAUUGGGUUUGAAUAAGAGAGGUUGAUAUUUGCAUUAGAUCUUAUGAUUUUUUUUUUUUUUGAGAGAGAGAGUAAACAAGGAGAGAAAAAAUCACCCAAAAAGAGAGUAAUAUUAAUGAACAAAUAUUUGCAACCUUUAAAAUAUCUAAGAAGAGUACCAAGCCUGAUUAGAACCUCACCCAACACCUUUUUCUUAUACAAUCCUAAAAUUUUAUCCCCAUAAUCAACACUCAGAACAUAAAUAGGAGAUCAAAUCGCAUAAUAAUCAAAACAUGCAGAUUUGCAUGAAUUACUAAAAGCUAAAACCCUCCCCCUUUUUCCCUUUUGUUUUGAAGCCAACCUUUUCUUGUCAUUGAAUCCUCUGUAAAGAGCCUGCUGUUUAAUGCUAGCCACAUAAAAAUUUGAUUUUUAAGAUGCGUGGGGCAAAGCCAAAUUUUCUUAUAAAAAGGCCAUCUCACACCUCCACAGUUGAGAAGGUCACAGAGGGAUUUUACAGUAAAUUUCCCAUCUUUUGACUAUCACCAGAAAAUUGUAUCCUCAUCUUGAUUUAAUCCUACAUUUUUCAUCUCUUGUAAUAGUUUGACUGCAUCUUUGGCGAGGUUAAUGGGUUAGUUUCUCAUCUCAACAGAUUACUGGGUGAAAUUUCCAUCCUUUAUCUGGUCUAUUAUCUUUUCUACCAGUGCAUGUAGAAAUGUCUCCUUGAUCUUUGUCAGGCGCGUGAGCAAGGAUUUAAGAAUUGUUCAUUGGCCCAGAUCAUGGACUACAUGCAAGUUUUCGACAUCUUGGCCGCGCAAAAGUAGUUCUCGUCUUGUUUGAGAAAACAGUUUGACUAAAACUGAUCUAAGAAUAGCUUUCUCUGAGUUUUUAAGCAAUUUAAAGCUCCACUCUUCAAUAUUAGCACACAUUACCUGGGUAUCAAUUCAUUGAAUUAUUUAGACAAACCAAAACUUACUGAACAUUGUUUAACUACAUAGAGCAACAACACUUUCAUGUUCUGUUGCCGCUGUGAUUUUAUCGAAAUAGUUGGCGCUAGGCAAGUACAGCUAACAUUUUUCUGUUCCUAUGAACAGAAGAAAUGGUAGUUUUAUUAGGGGCUGAGACAUUAGAUCCAUUUAAGAUAAAGUUGUUAAACAAAAGGCGGCAAAAAGAAUGUUAGUAGCAUGCAGCAUGGCAUCUUUACUGUCAACUAGCAACAAGGAUUAAAAUUGCUAAUAGAGUAGGCACAUUCUAGUUUCUACAUGAUUUUUAUUUGCCUUUUCUUCGAGAAUUUCGUAACUUCUACGAGUGGGGAGUAAUUGAUACUCCAGAUUGUUGGAUAUAAAUCUCUUUUCAUUGUAGGUUGGGUCGAGGGCCCCUCUAACCUAGAAUUUCUACAGAAGUGCAGUUUGAAUAGAAAUGUUCUAAAAAGAACUAUCUAAUUAACAUCUUUUUUAUUUUAAUAUCUGCGUAGCUUUGUUCUGCAGCAAAAGAAGCCUAAAUUGGAGCUUCUUGGCAGAUUCUUUUGAGGCCAAGAAACUCUCUUUUUUUUCCCUUCCUGCCGCGACACAGCUUAUAAUUCUUGCUUGCGUAAACACAUUCUUCCUUGAAGAUGAUUACUCAAACCAUAUAAUGACAUAUUUCAUUUACUUAAGCAAACUAGGGAUAACUCAACUUGAACAUCUCUAUGUUACAUUUUAGAACGAUGGCAUCGACGAAUGAAGCUCCGAGCUGGGCAGAUCAGUGGGGUGCAGGCGGAAUAGGAGACAGAGGCGACCCCGACAAAGAGGCCAAAGCAAAAGAGAACAACAAGAAGAGCACGGGAGGCAAUGCAAAGUCUUUGGCCUCAGCGAGCUUCAACAAGGCCAAGGCCGCUGCGAUAACGGGAGCACAGAAGGUGAAGUGUGGGACAAGCACAGGCUUCAAAUGGGUUAAGGCUAAGUGCCAGAAGCCGAGUUCUAAAUGAAUCAAUGAAUGAAUGAUCUCUGUUGCAGAGACUGUCAGAAAAGGAAGACGAAAUGUUCAUGCAGAGAACUGCUUCAUUUCUGAAAUAGAUUGGGAGAAGCUUCGUCCGCGAGAGAGUGUGAUGUAAUGUUGCUAAUCAGAGUGUGUCGCAUAUAACAGUAGAUUUUCUCAGCAAUUAUUUGAUUUGUUUGGGUGUUAUUUAUCUUUCGUUUCAGGGUGAUUGGUUGUGAUUUUGUACUUUGAUUGAGACCUGCUACUAAGAUAUAUAUAAUACUUGAAUGGGAUUGAUGUGCAAAGACUCAUUUAAACAUGCUCAAUAUCUUCAGAAAAAGCUCACUUGUUUGAAUCCUGAUGAUCAAGAGUUUAGCCAUGUUAUAAUAUAAGAGCUCAAGUGACAUUCCUUAUCUAUAAUAUAUGAGCUUAAGUGAAACAACUAGAAAGUUUAGGAGCUGAAAUGUCAAACUCAAAAGUCAAGGACCCAACUAAAACCUAAUAAGUGUAGGAUUAGUAAUGCAAUUUACCCAUACUUUUUGCCUUCUUUAAGAACAAAAGUUGUCUGUUACGAGUAUUUGUUUCGCAAAGUUUCUAAUUUCUUUAUUUUUUUUGUCCAAAAAGUGGGAGCUUGACCUCCAGUAACCUUUACCUCUGAGUCCCCCAACCUGGAACACAAACGCAAGAUCCCAAGGCCUAGCUUGAUGCCACAUCAGAAAUUUCUCCUUUUUCUUUUAUUUUACCCCCUUCUUUUUUUAAAGAAUCAAAAGCUCAAACCCCUUUACACCUCCCCUUAGAGUUGCUCCGACUUUUUUUUUUUCAAAUUAACUCUUAAAAGUUCAUAUUUGGCUAAAUAGUCCUGUUAAAAAUUUAUUUGGCCAAAUAACUCUAUUCUGUCAAAUUCAGUAUCAAGAUGAAAUAAUAAUUAAAAGACGGUAAAUCAUUCACCGUAUGUAAUAAAAUUCAAAAGAUGGACAAACUAAAGUUAAUUUGCCAAUUAAAAUUUUGAUUGGAGCCUUAGCAAAUUAUAAAUUUUAUAAAAAACUUAUUGUUAAAAAAAAUAAAAGCUCCAAUUAGAACUCGACCGCAAGACGCUACCCAACGGCGCCCUGAUGUCUUACCGUUGGAAUACUGUGGUUUGGCUUUUCUCAUACAAUUUUUAAGAAUAAUAGGGUGAAAUAUAUGAUAGUGCUAGAAACUCCCAACAAUUGUAAUUUAAUCCUUGUUCUUUGAAGUUAAUUGAUUACUUCCUAACAUUAUUUCUUCUACAAUCUCAAAUACCUGGAUGCUUUUGCCAUCCAAAAUCUUUACUGUCAGCUUAGAGUUCUGCAUAUCACCAGGCACACAGCAGAGAUUUUGGAUGCUAACAACAAACUCAAUGAUGACAAUAUUAGGUAAUUUAAGAAACAAAUAUAAGUAGAGGCACCCAAAGUAGAAUUACUGAAAAGUUUAGCCCAAAAAAAAAUAGGUAAAGGUCUCAUUUGGUACUGUUGACAUUGAAUUUCUACUCAUGUCCUCGGUAUUCAUAUAAUUGAAUUCACCAAAUACAUCCUUUUCAAUACAGCAAGGAGGAAAAAAUGUUUCUGCUAGACUUUCAUUCUUGUUGUAAGAAAAAGCCCUAAAUAGCAUGCAAAGAGUCAGGGAAACACCAGCGCAUCCAAUUAUAUCAAAAUUUGAGUUAAAAAGAGAAAAGACCUAUGAUCUUUCAUUGUCUAACAGCAUUUUGGCAAUAGCAUUUAGACGAAGACCAAAAAAGUUGCAAAUCUAAUUUUGCUCUGUCAUAUCCAUUUGCUAAAUUACACUUUUGGUCCUCAAACUACGAGGGGCACUGACACUUUGGUCUUGAGACUUCAAUUUAUUACAAUUUCUGACUUAAAAAUUUUAACGUUGUUGUAAUCAAAUCUCACGUUUCCAAUUUAGUUAACUAAAUGAUGAUGCGUCGCUCAUAUAACACUAAUGUGGUAUUUUAAUUAUCAUUACAUCAUAAACUAUAAUACUGUCAUAUCACCACCAUAUAAGUAAUAAGUCAUAUUUACUCAACUAAAUUAGACUUCAGAACUUGAUUGCAAUAAUCUACAAAGUUCGAACUAGAAAUUGCAAUAAAUUAAAGUUUAAGUACCGAAGUAUCACAACUUUCGUAGUUUGAGGACCAAAAGUGUAAUUUAGCCCUUUUUUAAUAAACUCAAGGAUGGCACAGCUAUUUAUGAGAUCAUUAUAAUCAAAACUAGAAAGAAUGAACUGAAACCAGAUUAAUGAAUGUUUGCUACGAUACUGAUGACUUACAUCCUGGUUAGCUGCCUAAUAAACACUCCCCCAUGCAUGCAUAUUAAUUUAGGAUAAAUAUUUCUCAUUUUUUGGCCAUCAAUCAUUCCCAAAAAGUUGUACACUUUGAUCAAGGACCCAUUUGGUGGCUAAACAAGCAGGUUUCCAAAACGUAUGAUUAAAGGUAUUUUACACCAUUGGCCCCAACCUUUUUUUCCAAUUUUUCAAUUGAAUCUUAACGUUUUCUUUUCUGUAAAUUGAGCAUGGAUGCUUCUGUAAGUUAUUUUACAGUUAGGUUCUUGCGCUCCAUAGUUCCUUUUAUAUUUGUCAUAACAAUUUACCUUUAGAAGUUCUAUAAUUUUCAGUACUCAUAAUGUCGUUUACAUCUAGGACUCUUAAUUGAAUCAAAUAUCUCCUGAGUACCUAACUUGGCUAGUGAGUAUAAAAGAGAGAUAUGACCAAGGCAAAACACCCUAGAAAGAGUCUUUGGACUUGAUUUAUGGCCAACCGGGCAUGUUCAAAAAUUAGUCAUAAUCAGUAUGGGAGUCCCAGUUGGAGAUUUUAUAUUGAUAGAAUUAUAAUCAGUAUGGGAGUCCCAGUUGGAGAUUUUAUAUUGAUAGAAUUUUUUUUGUUUUUUAAUGUUCACUGUCUAGUUUACGAUACUCUUCAUUUCAAAUUAUGUUAAAAGAGUCAUAACUUGGUGACAGAUAAAUCUAGGAAAAGAUUCAAAUGGUUUCCAAUAUCCUUUUGGAAUCAUCUUAACCUUAUCAUAUAUGAUCAUAUAUGAUAAAGAGGAAAUUUGAUAAAAAAGGGACAAUGCACAUGACAUAUUAAAUAAUAAAGUAAGGCCUCAUUUGGCAUCAUUGUCAUUUUUCCUUUUCCAUUUUUACACUAAUUCUUUAUUAUUUGGUUAGCUUGUAAUACACUCCGCCCAAGUGAUGGAUGACAACAUGUUUGAAAAAAAUCUUAAAAGAAAAAAGAAAAAAAAAUUACUUCCCAAUUUUUAUAUUUUGUCGCCAAACAAAUGCCUUGCGAGCAAUCUACCGUCCCUUUCGACACUAUUUCACAUAGAGCUUCUGCUUUAAAACAUAGAAUAAUGACAACAAUACCAAGCAAGGCCUAAGUUUCUCUUGCACACCAAAAUCCUUUUUCUUCUAUCUCUUUCUAAUUUUGCACUUCUUCCUUUUCUCAACUUAGUAGGGAUGUUGUUGCACACUAUACCAACUUUACGAACAAAUCUAAGACCAGUAUACAAAUUUUUCCCAUUUCUGUGUAUCCAAUGCCAAUAAUCAGCAACAUCAGUAUUAACUUACAUGAUUUACGCUAAUAAUCAUUGUAAUAACCAGCAAUUGCAUGUUGUAUUCAGAUGAGCAACCUCGUUACAGUGUUGUAUGUAUAAUCAUCAGGAGUCACUCCUCUAAGCACCAUGAAAUCAUGCAAUUCAAUAACUUCAUUCUGAUUACAGUUCCUACUGAAUGCAGUAAUCACAAUAGUGUAAGUAAUUUGAUCAGGUAGCUGACCUGUAUCGAACAUCAGUUUCAGAAGCUCUUUUGCUCGUUGAAAGCAGCCAAUCUUGCACAGGAAAUUUAUUAAGGCAUUGUAAGUGACUGUAUUAACCUCGAUGCCAACUCUUCUCAUUUCAUAACACAGAGAAAAUGCUUCAUUAACCAUUUGGUGGCUUAAACAUCCAUUGAACAAUGUGCUGUAUGAAAUAACAUCAAGCAACACCCCUGCUCUUCUAAGCUCGUCAACUACGGUUCUUGCUACAUCUAAAGACCCAUCUUUGCAUAGCCCAUUAAGAAUUGAAUUAUAUGUUAAGAUGUUAGGUUUAUGCCCUUCCCUCACCAUGCCAUCAUAUAUACAAAUAGCUUCAUCUAUACUCUUCUCCUUGCAGUAUCCAUCUAUUAAUGUACUAUAUGUAAAGAUAUCAGGUGUCAAACCACAAGCUAUCAUGCUGCCGACUAAUUGAUUUGCCUCUUUGAUCCUCCCAUUCUUACACAAAUAGUUGAUGAGACUAUUAAAAGAAACAACAUCCUCGACAAACUUCUGCUCCCUUAUUUGCUUAUGAUAUCCUACAGCCUCUGAGACUAACCCAUUUCUACAACAACCAUCAACAACAAUCGCAUGCGUGUGUUGGUCUGGAGGCGCAUGAUUCUCUCUCAUGUCGGAUAAUAAAAGACAAGCCUCUUCGACAUAUCCCUGCUUAAAAAGCCAAUUCAUGAGCGAAUUAUAUACGACUGUAUUAGGCACGAAGCCUUUUUCCACCAUCUCAUUAAACAAUCGAAGAGCCUCUUCGAGUUUCCCUUCCCUCGCAUAACCAUCGAUAAGAGUUGCAAAAGUUCUGACAUUAGGCAGUAUCCUUUUUCCAAUCAUAUCUUCCCUAACAAUUUCCUCGCCACUAGUCGAUCUCCCAACCUUGCAAAGCCCGUUAAUUAUGCUAUUGUAAGUAAUAGAAUUAGGCUCAACAUUCAUCCCCGACAAAAUGGACAUAUGAUGCAUAAGUUUGAGAGCGAUAUCGACUUCACGAUUCCUACAAAAUCCAUCUACAAGCAUAUUAAAACUAACAACAUUAGGAGAAAUCCCCUUCUUCAGCAUUCGAUACAGAACCGAGAAGGCCUCCCAAACUCUGCUCUGUUUACACAAGGCGUAGAUGAUCAAAUUGAAAGUGUUCACAUUUUCAGCAUACCCAAAAGAAAGCAUUUCCCUAUACCUCUUCCAAAACCCUGAAAGAUCACAUUUUGCCACCAGGAGAUGAUUCAAAAAGUUAUUCCGCGCAUGAAUCGAAACCCGGAAACCUUUCAACCGCAAGUUCUCGAUCACCAAAUAGGCAUCUUCAGAAGCACCAAUCUGAGUGCAAGCCCUAAUUAACGCAUCGUAAACAUCAGGAACCGAACUACAAACCCUAAAACUCUUACCCAAAGAUCCCAAAAGCUCCAAAACAGAGACACCAUCUCGCCGCAUCAACCGCUUCAUGAGAAAAACAGCUUCUUCGAACUUUCUCGAAGAAACCAACACAUGGAUCAUGAUCGAAUGGGUCUCCAAACUGAGAAAAGAGCCAUUUUUGGGCCCCUUUUCCCUUUCCACCCAAUUGAAGAAACCCAGCGCCGAUUCCGGCGAACCUCGGGAUCGAAGAACGGCGCAGCGAACGAUUGAAUCGGUGAGAAUCGGGGAGAAUCGUUGUAGGAAGCUCCAUUUGUGGUGGCGGAGGUUCCUGGAGAUGGAUUCGACUAUGACCUCGUCGUCGUUGGGGAGAGGGGGGAGAGGAGGGAAGUGGAGACCGCACCUUGGGUUACUGGAGUGGAGGGGUUUGCUUCGUCGAAGGAGACGGAGUGCGGGAGCAAGCAUAGAGCAUUGCGGAGUUCGUUAAUGGCGGAGGGAGAGAUUUGGGGACGGAGGAGGUAUAGAAGGUUUCAAACGAGGGUUUUAGGGCUUUUGGCGGAGAAAAUAUUGCGUGCACCUGGUGCACCGGUGCACGGCUCCCCGCACCCUAUAUUUUAUUGCCAAUGUUUUAAAAUGGGUAACCUUCUUAUACCACUCCCGUACUUUCGCACUUUCUCAAUUUAGUGUCAUGUGGUUUAAAAUAUAUUAAGUUAGUGUCUUGUGGUUUCAUUUUUAUCUUUUCGUCAAUUUUUUUGUUAAUAUUUUGUUAAAUUAUAUAAAAAAAAAAAAUUCAGAUAUUCUAACUAGAUUUAUCGAAUAUUCACUUUAGUACCCUUUAGUUUUAACUUUGUCGCUGAUUUAAUGAAAAAAAUUAGUGGAAUCGAUGAUAAAAAAAAUAAAAAUGAAACCACGAGCACUAAAUUGAUACUAAGGUUUUAAGUGUCCGUCGGAACGGGCCGUAUCCACCCUGCCAUACCGUGCCAACAAGAUACCGGCACGAUACAGACCCCCUGCCAAUGGCGUAACUCAAAAUCCUCUAUUCUUUAAAUUAGUAAGUAAUUUUCUCAAUAAAGUUCAAAAGAUGUGAUAAAAAGACAUAAUAAAUAGUUAGAAUAUUUUGUUGCUAAAGAAAAUAAAUAAUUCAUGCUAUUAUAUAUCGGCACGCAAGAAUUUUUUUGACCAGCACGGUUCUGCACACAUCGUGCCGUACCGUGCUGACAAGUUUCCAGCACGAUCCCGUGCCACAGCACUUAAAUCCUUGAUUGAUACACUUUAAACCAUAGGGUAUUAAAGGUGAGAAAGUGUGAAAUCACAGGAGUAGUAUUUGAAGUUUACCCUUUAAAAUUGAAAUGUAAUAUGAUUGAAAAAUUAACACUGAUUAAUCAAAACAAUUAAUUUCUCGAAAGUCUCAUAAUCCAGUUUACCCAUUUUAAAAUUAAUACCAACUAACCACUUCACUUAUCAUAACAAAGGAGUCCACUUCACUUAUCAUAACAAAGGAGUCCAGGAUCAUCCGAACUUUUAAGAAAGUGGCAUGAGCGGGAAUAUAUGAUAUCUUUCAUAACGCCUUUAAGUCUGUUUGCAAGCACCUUGGAGAUGAUCUUCAGACCACCGUUGAUAACGUUGAUAGGCCUAAAAUAACUUGCACAUUUAGCCCCCUUUUUUUGAGGGGCAAGACAGAUGUAAGAAUAGUCAAAAGCUCAAAGUUUAAAGUACUUUCGAAUAGUUUCUAAAAGAUAUUAAAGAGAUCUACUUUAAACACUCAGAUAGAACCUCAAGUUGAACCCGUCCGGCCUGGGUGCUUUACAAGAUUUUAAGUGUCCGUCGGCACGGGCCAUAUUCAUCGUCCCAACCGUGCUAACAAAAUACCGGCACGAUACAGACCCCGUGCCGAUGACACAGCUCAAAACCCUCUAUUCUUGAAAUUAGUAAGUAAUUUUCUCAAUAAAAUUCAAAAGAUGUGAUAAAAUGACAUAAUAAAUAGUUAGAAUAUUUUGUUGCUAAAAAAAAAUAUAUUUCAAAAUUUAUUUUUUGCAAAUAAUAAUAUUGCGUGCACGUGGUUCGGAUCGGGUACACUAGGUUUGGUUCGGGUUCUGGUUUGGGUCAGGUUCGGGUUCGGUUCAAGAGCUCUCUUCCUAAGGUCAGUAGAGGUGAUAAAAAAAAGUAAUAAUAAAAUUUAUUUAUUUUUUAAAAAAAUCUAAACUUUUGUUAUUUUAUAAUUAUUUUUAUAAAUUUUUAAUUUUUUAAUCAAAAUACCAAUUUAAAUAGAAAUAAUUCAUUAUUAUUUUUAAAUUUUACAUAAUUUUAAAAAAUUUAAGAGGUCGGCCCGGGACUUCCGGAUGGCCACAUUACGCCCCUAGCUGUACCAAAUUUACAGCUCUCAUGCAUCCAACUAGUAUUCAGUUCUGAUAUCAAUUGUAACAAUCUGACUCGCUUGCAACAAUGACUCGAUGGGUCCAAAGCACCGUUCCAAACUAUCGAUCCAAAAUAUUUAAGCUUAGUUAUUAUUAUUAUUAUUAUUAGCGUUGAGGCCGCUUAUAUUUUAAAUCAGAAUUCGAUGUAGGACUAUUGGGGCACUGGAGCGGUAGGGGCGGAUCGAGGAGGAGCUGAUCCGGAUACCGAAGGACACGGUGGCGCGGAUGCGGGAGGUGGUGAUCGGGAUGAUCCUGCUGGGCCGAGGGGCGGCGCUUCCACGACGCCGCCGACAUGGCGUCGCCGAGCUCACCGAGCGUGCGCGGCGGCGCACGCUGAGUGAGUCCAACAACAAUAGUACCAAGUAAAUUAAAUUGGACAAGAGAGAGAUCUCCAUUAAUAUCGUCUACAUUGUUUGCCACAUUUUCUCUCUUAUACUUUUUCAAGUAUUGAUUUAGCCUCCAAAUUAUGCUCUUGCCUUGAACAAGCUCCAACCAUGUUCUUUGAGUGCAACAAAAUGCUGGUCUAAACUGGAAUAGUUUUUAACUCAAAAAGUUCAUCUAAAAAGAAUCAGAUCAGAAAUAAUUGCAACAUUCUUUUGCUCGCAUGCAUCUUGACUAUCAAGAGAAUCAUAUCAUGUGCAAAUGAUAGGAGAGAUAACAAAACGAAAAACAAAUUGAAAAUAUGGUAAUAAAUGACAAAUGUAUAAAUAAUUUUAACAUGUUUCACUCAAACAACUGAUCACAACGAUUUGUAGGGAGCAUUUAUUUAUUUAUUUAUUUAUUUCAUUAGUUAUUAUAAGAAUUUAUAUAUGUUUUUAUAUAUAGUAUAGACUAUAGACUAUAUUCAAAUUUAACUGAGUUUAUUUUAUAAAACAUCUCUCAUCUGUAUAUUUAUAUGCCGCGAAUAUAUUGACUCUUUUUUCUAUCGCAUAUACUACAUGCAUGACUCUAGGAUGAUGGUUAUAAUCAUAAUUUUAUAUUAUUGGAGAGAAAACAAAUUAUAACCACUUUUGAAUUUUUUGAAGCCCUCCGUAUUAUUAAAAAGACCAGUUUCUUAUGAACUCCUAUCUACUAUUUAUUUUUUUCAAAACUUAUCUUAUAUUUUCAAAAUAUCCACUAAAAAUUCAAAUCUUCCCACUAAACCCUCAAAAUCAGGGAUAUAUUUUAAAAACCGAACAUUUUUCAAUGGCAAAUUUUGAAAAAUGGGUAAUUUUGGUAAUUAUUCUUUAUAAAAAUAGUGCUUUUUAGUCGGCAUAUUAUCAAACGAGACCAAAAACUGCAACCAAAAGUGAUUUUAAUCUUACAAAUCCAUAAUGCUAGGAUUUAUGAAAUUUUUUAAAAUUUUAGUACUAAAUAAAACAAUAAAACUAAUAUAAAAUAAUUAAUGAUCAAAAUAGUGAAGUUAUAAGAUUAAAAUUCAUUUGUGUUGAUAAAAUUAACAUUCCUCAGCCAGUAAUGGUAAUUAAUUAGUAGUCCAAAAUUAAAAUUGGAGUGAAGCACCGGAUUCAAAAACUUAAUAACGAAGCGCAUAUCAUGCUACCUUUCUCUUUCAAAAAUAAAAACUACAUUUUUUCUACUGCUCUCUAUAGGAAAUGUUCUUUUUAUCAUUUUCUUAAACUGUGUUUUUCAAAACUAUAUUUUUAUGAUAAUCAAGCAAGCUCUAUCUUAAUAAAACACUUACGUACUUUUAUUCGGAAAAAAGAAACAAAACAAAACAAAACAAAACGCAUACAUUCUCAUUCAUAAACACCAAAACAAGCAUACUACUAAAACCACGCGCACAACAACAUAAACACAAACUCAUACAAAUUCACAUACAAACUAAAACUACGCGCACAACAACAUACAUAUGCAUGCAUGCAUGCAUUAAUUCAUCAGAAAUAUAGUAAAUUUGUACCAACCACUAGCUAUCACUCGCCAGUCUCCGGCGACGGGGUCGUCGACCUUUUCUUGGUCCUUGUCGAUCUGGAUCGGCCCCUCGUCCUCCGCCGACCGCACGUCCAUCCGUGUCCAGUUCUCCCCACCCGCCACUGACUCGUACGUCGUCGGUGUCUGCGACCCCACCUGCCGCGCCGCCCCCCACAUUCUGUCGAACUGCUUUCAUCAAACACAAAACAUGCAUCAACAAAACUACUUAUGCCGCAUCAAAGUUUCUUUUAGGCAUUAUCUCGAACACCCUUCGGACAAUAACAACAACCAAAAGCAGAAAAAGUAGUGCAGCACAUCACCCUAAUCUCUUUUAGGCAUUCCGUCGAACAGCUUUCAUCAAACACUAAACAUGCAUCAACAAGGUUACAAAACUACUUAUGCCGCAUCAAAAUUUUCUUUUAGGCAUUAUCUCGAACACCCUUCGGACGACAACAACCAAAAAGAGAGAAAGAAAAAAAUUGGGUUGAGUCUGUCAGACAACCUCAGAGCCAACCCGACUGGCUUUCGCCGGUCAGGGACGAUCCUCUACAGCAGGAGAUUCGCAACGAAUCUCAGCCGUCAAUCACGCUCUGGCUCUGAGGACAUGUUUCAUCCACCAGACUUUGUUGCCUGUCUCCUUUACACUCAAGGACACAGUUGUACAACCUAUAGAACAGAUCCUGUUCAAGUAAGGUCGUGCUCUGUAGCUUUCUUUUGUUGUUAUAUACGUUAAUGUUUCGUUUUUCAUAUCCGAUGUGGGACUAAAGGAAUCAAACACGUUAAUGGGUACGGGUACGAGAAAAGGACAUCCGAAAUCUUAUUUGAAUAUGAACAUAACGGAUUUACUUGAUACCAAAUAGGUAUAGUUUUAAUUAGAGAUAUAACAAACCAAAAGGUGAUGGUAUCAUGUGCAAUUAAUUAUAAUUUAAUAAUAAUUUAAUUUAAUAUUUAGUAUAUUAAGUUGUCGGGUUUUUUUUUUUUUUUUGUGCUUGGUUGUGGGUUUGAGUUUUUAUAUCCGGCCGAGUUCGGGUGCAGUUUCGGAUUGUGACUUGUCAACUGCACGAACCGACCCGCUGGCGCACGGAGCCCAAAAGACAUUAUUAUUAGGCUAGGCCCAAAUUAGCUCACUAAUGUUAGGCCCUUGGAUUAUAAUGGGCCUAGUGUGAGCCCAUUAGGCCUAAUGAAUACCUUAUGCAAUUUAUCCUGUUAGUAAUAACGUUACCUCUUUUAAUAUUGCCGCUUACAAUUUCUACUUCUCCUUAAAGAAAAAGGAGUAAAAAAAAAUCAAUGAUUGGAUCUCCUCGUGUAAUUUCAUUUUUAUAGUAGUAGUAAAGUCAAUGUAUCUAUUCAAACACUAUAUUAACCAAGCUAAAGCUAGAAAACAAAUCGAACUCGACUCGUGAAGAACUUGCCAAAGAAUUUGUUAUGGUAAAGAUUACAUCUCAUAAUUAUAUGGAGAUAGGGGAGCACGACUUGAUAGGACAAAACGCUUUGUCGAUUAAUGGGAUAGUAGUUGGAAUAUAUACAUAGAGUUUGGCUAUUAUAUUCUUAUGAGUACGAUCACCCUCGUAUUCAUAAAUUAUUUUUGAUGAUAGAGCUUUCGAAUUAACGAUCCAUAUUGUUAAAUAUUAUCUAAAGUAUUUAAAACUUCUAGAAAUCAAAUUUCAUAAUUUUUCGACAUCAUUUACCUUACGAUCAAAAGGCCACAAAAUUGACAAGUUUUGACGGCCGAUAUGGGAUACUUGCUAAUUUAACGGUGUAAAAUAAUCGGAAUCGGUUGAACUUUUGAUAGAAAAUUCUAUUAACUACCUAGAUAAAAAUCAAUAACUCCGAUCUUACAUUGAAGGAUUCAAUCAUCCAUUUUUAGGACGUCGUUCGAUUUUGACUGUUCAUUUUAUGCCCGCUUGACGGACUUAAUUAUGAUUUUGAAGAAUUACGAAAUUUAUUUUCUAAAGUUUCAAAUACUCUAGAUCGUAUUUAACGGAGUGAAUCGUUGAUCCGGAAGCUCCAUCAUCGAAAACAACUUGUGAGUACGAAGGGCUUUAUACUCAUAAGAGUAUAAUAGCUUACUCUAUAUACAUAUAUAUAAUGUUUCACAGAAUCUUGCUUUUAGAUGAAAGUGCAAAGGUAGAUUAAAUGAAUGCUCAAUCUUUAUUGUUCAUCACUUAAAUAAAAGGACAAAUAAAUAAAAACUAAAAAUAAAAAUAGUGGAAUAGAUUUUGAAUCCCAAGCUAAAUUAUUAUAUAAUAGAUAAUAAAAAUUAAGGAAAAAAGAAACUUAUCAUUCAGUCCAAUGAAAAUAGAGAAAAAGAUCCAACAAAGUCAUUGGAUCAUCUAUUCAAACACUUGGGAAGGGGAUGGCGGGGGUAGAGAAAGGAACUCCCUUCAGUCUAAUCGAAAUAGAGAUGGAUUCAAUGUAGCUCUCGCAUUAGAGAUGGAUUCUUUUCUUUCUUUCUUUUUUUGAGAUAUAGGUAGCAUGCUACCCGCUUCGUUUAUUUCAUUUAGAAAUAAACUUAGCAAGAAAUGCAAAUCAACUAGGAUUCAAACUUGGAACUCCGGGUACCAACCAUCAAGCCCUUUGCCACUUGCGCUAGGGACGGACGAUCAUCAGAGAUGGAUUCAACAUAGCUCAUGCAUCAUCCAUUCAGACACCGAGGGAUGCUUCUUGGCAUUUUGAUGAAUGAGUUGGCAACUAACCUAACCCUACAUCCAUCUAUGACUGAACUGAAGGAAGCUCUACUCUUUUUAACCAAUAAAUAGUUUUAGCUUUGAAAUAAUUGUUGUGCUGCUUUGUAAUAGUUUCUUUACUUGAGAAGUGAAAAACCGUUAUUUUGCUACUAAAAUUUUUUGAAGUUGCUACUAUAUAAUAUUCGAUAUAAAGAUAAUAGGGCUUCCAAACGGUAACAACAAGUGAAAGAUUUUGCUACUAUUUUAAUACUAAAAUUUUUUUCAAUACCUCUUGCUAAACGGCAUGAAUAAACUAUAACUAAAAUAAGUAAACUCAACACUCAUUCUUAUGUAGUCUAAUUAAUUUUCAAGAAAUUAAGAAAAAUUUUAAAAAGAGAUGAUUGCAUAUGAUUUUUUUUGCUUAAUUGUAGGAUGCACAAAUAAACAAAGUUUGAUAGUUCAAUCUCAGUUGUUCAUCACUUUUUAUAUAAAUAGAGUAGUAAAUGAUGGCAUAAAAAUUGAACAAAUUUGAAAUUAUAAUAAAAAGAGGAGAAAGAUUGAGAUAGAGCUUUUUAGUAUUUUCUUUUCAACACACUCUUCAUCUUUGUAAAACUAUCUUUCACAUAUCCUCCCAAAGAUAGUAUAGAAUCAAUAGCAGAAUACAUUUGACCUCUAAAAUAUAGAGAUGUCUCAUAACACAAGAGAGAGAAAAGAAGAAGAAAAAUUAUUUUGUAAGAGAAAGAAGGCUUCCAUGUAUGAAUCACUUGCCACUCAUGGUUAUGAACACAAUAAAGGAGGGUCCCUUAAAUAACCAAGAGAAAAGUAGAGAUAACAUUAUAAGAGUAAAAAAAACAAACAAACAAACAAACAAAACACUUGCAAUAUACACUUUAAUGAUGUCUUCUGCUACAACCUUUUAUUUGCCUCUUUGCAUUUUGUCCUAUCUUAAGUUACGCCCAAAAGUCAAUUUUAAGCUUAAAUAAACAUGAUAUGGAAUAUGUUCUUAACCACUUAACAUUAAUUUUCUGCUUUAAAAAUAGUGCAACAUGCUACAUAUCACAGAAAAAAGUGUGCAGGAAUUAAUUUGGAUCCUAUAUGUGUAAUAGAAUAAUGCCAUUGCACCAAUUUAUCUCACAAAUGGCCAAGCAAAAAUGAAAAAGUGUCUAAUAUUGCUAUAUUACAUUAUUGUGUACUUAGCAAUUGUUGACCCAAAUUUAUUCGUAGAAAUUAAUCUAAUUCUAAAUAUUAAUGGAGGAAUCUUAAAUGAGAAUAAUCAGAAACUAUUUGCAAAUGCAUUCAAAAUAAGAGAUGUUAUCAAAUAUUAAAAUAAAUAUUUCAAAAUUUUCUAUUUUAGCCAUUUUAGAUUAUAUAUGGUACGCAGUAAGAAUAGAGUUACCAUCCAUGCUCCAUCCUCGUGACCAACGUAGCUUAAUUCGUGUGAUUGGAGAGGCUGUUUUUGCGCAUCAAAUUUAGCCGAAAUUUAACACUCAAACUAUGCAAUCCUUACGUUAGUAGGCAUGUUAGACCAUAGUUAGUUAAUUCGCGAAUAAUUCGCGAAUUAUUCGCGACUUUUUGAAAACCAGAAUUAAACGGUUAAUUUCGAAUUUUGGGAAAAAAUUCGGAAAAAAACGGAAUUUUUGGAGUAAAAAUGUGCGUUCGCGUAUUAUUCGCCGAGCCGAAUCAUUCGGCGAAAAGAAACGGAGCGCACACGCGCCUGCCCGCACCACCCGGGCCUGCCCGCGCCUGCCCGCACCACCCGCGCCUGCCCGCACCUGCCCGCACCUGCCCGCGCUCCUGCAGUCCCGCAUGCGGUCUUGCGCUGGCUUGCCCAAAACAGUAAACUACAAAAAAAAAAAGAAGAAAAAAAAUCUUUCCAAACAUCUAACCUAAGACCCAAAAAAAAAAAAAAAAAUCUUUUCAAAUUUUUACUUAAUUAUCUUAAUUUUGUAGCUAUUUAUUUCUAUAUUUGUAAAAGAUAUGAAUAUUUAUGCUAAUAGUAUAAAUCUUGAGAGAAAAAAUUUAAUUUAAUAGCCGAAUUUUUUAUCCCGAAUUUUUAAUUGGUAAACGUAUAAUAUCCGAAUAAAUCACGUAUCCGAAUAAUUGAUGAAUCUGUUUUUUAGCCGUAUUUUUCAACGAAUUUAAAAAUUAAAAGACGAAUUUUAUCCGAAUUAUACCCGUACCGAAUUUUUGCCGAAUCCGAAUUAACUAACUAUGUGUUAGACACUAAUUUAUAAAUCAAGAUCCUCAUUUUCAGCUACAAUAACUGACAAUCAGAUAAUUAGAAAUUUUAUAAUAGUUACAAAACAUAGUUUUAUUUGACAAUGUACUAUUUUACAAGUGCUAAGAAACAAUUAUGGCAAUUUUCUAAAAUUACUGGCAUACUCAUUUAAGAUAUAAGGUGUUGUUACAUUUAUACUAAACAUUCCUAAUUUUUUUUCUAGUCAAUUUUUUAAAAUUACAUGUGGCAGUAGUAAGAAUAGGGUUACCACCUAUGGCAGAUCCUCAUAAGUAGCUUAGCUCUAUUCGUGUGAUGAGAAAAAAUGCUUUCUUAAUUCAACCUCAAAGAUAAUAUCUCAUUGCGUGAAUUUUAACGGCCAAAUCAAGUAACACCAUUCUCAGGCAUUAGAUUUUAGCAUUUAUUAUCUUUAACCAUUUCAACUUGAAAAACGUAUCAUUAAUUAUUCAAACAAUCCAUAUACUGUAAUUAAUCAUCUACUUUUUAUUUCUAAUCACUUUUUUCUAACAAUCAUUAGUAUUUCAAAAAAAAAUAAACUGAUGCCAUGUAAAUAUUCAAAAUAAGGGGGCUAAAAUUGUUAUGUGUAAAUAUAUGUGACAAAAUUUAAUAAAAUAAGGUGCAAUUGGCUUAUUGCAACGGAUAAAUUAUGUGGUUAAUCAACAUUAAUAUUUUAAAAUUGAGGGCCCAUAUAUAAGUGGUUCAUGUAAGUCUAGUUCUAUUUUUUCUUAAAAUUGCAUGAGAAUGUUAUGUACAAUUGUAAUUGGAGUAAAACUAUAUUGCUUUUAGAAAUAAAUAGGAUUAUACAUUUUUGAUAAUUAAGCAUCUGAAUCGAAAAUUGAUAUUGUUAAAGCAAAUCUAAACUAUUUAAACUUAUAAAAAUUAAAUUUUAUAUGCUUUUGAUAAUAUUUAUAUUUGCCUAGUAUUUAGUGGUCUCAAAAUUAAUACUUUUUAAGAACUAGUACAAGAUGAAUUUCGCCAUUUGAUUGCUAGGUAAAUAAUAACAUGAUUAAAUUCAAUCUUUAAAAUGUUAACAUAAUCUAAAUUUAUUUAACAAUGAAAAUUAUUAAUUUGACCAGAUGUAUCGACUAGUCAUUAAUACUGCAGUAUUGUAACCUUACACCUAGUAAUGGAUCCAAUUUUUGUCUUAAUUAAUUACACCAUUCAUCAUCAUCUUUCCAAAUCUUUUAUCUGAUUCACAUCCCUAACCUUUAUUAUUUAUUCUAUUUAGUCGCAUCGUUACAAUUGCCAUUUAUUCUGAUGAAAAUAGCAACAACACCAAUCAAUAACGGUCACCUCACCACCACAUCUACACUAAAUUUUGCUAGAGUAAAUAUAUUUUUUAAUGAUAAAAAUUUCUAAGUGAAAUAAAUCUGACAGAAGAUAAAACUCAAUUGUAAAGAAGAAAAAGGAUAAACUGUGAUGCAUGUAAUAUUAUAAUUCUUAAAUUUUAAUUCGUUACAAUUUCAAAUUCAAACUCCACAAAUUAUUACGAUCAAGACUCACAACCAAAUUUAGUUGAGUAAAUAUUAGUGUAUUACUGAUGUAAAAAUAAUGUGUCAUCUUAAUUAUUAUCACAUCACUAGUUACAAUAGUAUUAUAUUACUUCUUAUUACAAUACUGUUAUAUUGCUGGUACAUUAGUGACACAUUAUUAUUUAGUGAACUAAAUUAAGUUACGGAGCAUAAUUAUAAUAAUUCAAAAUUUUUGAAUUAAAAAUAAUAAUAAAUUAGAAUUGUGGCAAUUUUUAAGAAUCAAAAUGCCAUGUACAUCAUAUAGUUUGAGCACUAAAAAAAAUAAAAUUUAGCCAAAAAGAUUAAAAAUUGGAACCAGGAUGAAAAACCGAGGAUGGGAACUAACCAACGGCGUGCGAUUGUUGUGGCAUUGGCCCCCUCUCGUGUUCGGACGGGGUGGGUUUCACGCUUGUUUUUUUUUUAGGGUUUUCGCAAAUUCGGGCCCAACCGCGAUCGAGCACGAGGAGGGUUUCCGCCGAGGCGAUUCCGAGCCCUAAAAUCUCACAAUUGUAGCAGUUUCCCGAAGCCACCACCACCACCACCACCGCGAAGCAGUGCGAGCGAGCGAGCGAGCUCGAAACCAGAAUCUCUCGUCGCGAAUCGAAACCCCUCCCUAAUUCUCCUCCUCGCGCCAAUUCGCACUCCCACGGAUCGAUCGAAAGGGUACCAUUUCCUCACCCUCUUUGAUCCGAUCUUACAUGCUUAAUUUUGUUUAAUUUGAGCGGCGAUUUCAUUUUUUUUCAAUUUCGGGGAUUUGGAGCCCUGAUUCUGAAUUUGAUUUGAUUUGAUUUUAUGUUGUUGUUGUUGUUGUUUUUUUUUUUUUGAAGUUUGGGUCUGAUUUAUGGUACACAUGGUGAAGAUAUUGGGAUUUUUUGUUCGAAUUUGAAAAAAAAGGAUUUUUAUUUGAUUCGUUGCUAAUCUCCAUUUUAUAUACUGAGAAAUCUCGAUCGGAGUUUAUGGAUUCGUGGUUAUGUAUUAGUUUAGGUGAUAAUGUAUCGGAAAAUUACUUGAUUACGAGGCAUUUUGAAAUAGGGCCUUGAACUUUAUUCUUUCUGAUUCGCAAUUUCCUAACUUUGAUUUGUUUUGAUGUGAGUUUUUUUUCUUUAAAUUGAUUUUCAGAAUUUUUUUUUUUUUAAUGAUCGGUGAAUUUUGACAGCUACAAACUAUUUUCCAUCUAAAGGAAGUGUGGAUUUAGUUAGUAAUUAAUGACUAAUAGCUAAUGCUGCAGUUGAUUUUGACAAAAGCUCCAAUUCAAAUGGCUCAAAUACCUCGAAGAAAAAUAAAUGAAAGUUGAGGAGGCUCUAAUCAGAAAAUAUAAAGUUUAGGGGCAUAUCUCAAAAUGUUCUGCAGUUGAGGGGUUCUCCAUACAUUAAUACCUUAGUUUUAUCUUACGUAAGCAGGUGUAGAGUAGAGCUGUAUAUUUCUACCCUUUCUUGGUCUGAAUUUGAAUAGUCUGAACUGCCAUACUGAAGCAGAAGUAAUUAAUUCAAAACCAUCUUGCUCACUUGAAUUAUAUUAAGAUAGCGGUGAACAUUUUGUCCAGAAUCAUGUGCAUGCUUAAUAAUAUUUCUUUAUGAGAUCUAACAAUUUUGAAAUUUAGCAUGUUUGGUUACACGUAAAAAAUUCUUGUAGUGAUAAAAAUUUAUUUGUGAUCUGAAAACAAUAUCAAAUGGUAUUGUCUUUUCAAGUGAAGUUUUGAUGUUCAUUUUGGAAACAGACUUGUUUAUUGUAGUUGGAUUUUAUGUAAAGUCGAGAAAGAACUAAUACUUUUAUUGUUAGCAAAUUUCUUGAAGAUUGAUGAAAAGAAGUGAUUAAUUAUCUUUCUAUGAAGAAUUCUGUGCUAAGUUCCAUGAAAAUAGAUUUUAGAAGCUCUUUUUAAUGGAUCUUAAGUAAAUUUCUGAAAUUCAGCUUUGACAAAGGUUUUAACAAACAGCAAGAGUAAUUUUUAAAGACAUGAAACCGCUAAAGUAAACUUCUUUUCUAGUGCACAAUUUUAAAGUAGUGCUGAAUAUUAUGUUGAUAUCUAUGUUAUUCUCCAAUGGAAGAUGGUGAAAUUGUUGAUUUAGUUGUGAGAAUCUGUUGGAAUCAUAGUUGAGAGAUAAAGAUGAUGAAUGGUGUGCCCUAGGGUAGGUUAGUGUUGUUUUCUUAUAGUAGAUAAUUUCACUGAUGCCAGAGACAAGGCAUUGAGUUUUAUUAGAGUUCACAUGCUAUUUUUCAUUUGUAAUUUAGGUUGGGACUUGGGAUGGAUAAUAUGGUUUCACCAGAUAGAAGUUCAGAAGAGGCCUACAAGGAGGCUGAGACGUUAAAAGUGGGAGAAUGUGAAUUUAACUCGGUUGAAGACAAGGAUUCUCAGGGUAAGAGGUCUUUAGAACAGGAAGAUGAAGAAAUUGUUGAAAGAAUGCCAAUUGACUCACAUCUUGAGGCUUCGCCUAAGCAUCCUGUAAUUGAAUCUGAUUCAGUUAGUCCAACUUCAACUUCCCAGAAAGCUGCAGAGCCACAUUUACUAGUUGAUUCGGAUAUGCAAAAAGAUUCGGGAAGGGGAGUUUCAGAUCGCAUUGCUGAGGGAGAGAAAAUACCCUCACAAGAUUAUAACAUCCAAAGCAGAACAGAUGAGGCUGAUGAAAAAUUAGAUAUUUGUGAGGAACCAGAUGUGAAUAACUGUCAUGAGAAAAUUGAUGACAGUGCUCGUGACCAUGAAUGUACGAAUUCAACUUCUUUUUCUGUGACAGAUAAUAAAAGUUUGAAAAGUACAUCUGAAGUAGCUAAUUUUGAUCAGGUUGAGCUUAACAAUGAGAUAAUGGAUGAUGAGAAUUUAGGCCAUUAUACUGAGUCGAAGGAAGAUAAUGACACCUUAGAGAAGGCACCUUCUCAUAAUGAAGGGGUGGGAAUGGAUAGGUCUCCUAAAGCUCAGAAUGGUAUACCAUCUCCAGAGAGAAAAUCAGUUCAGUCAAGAAGCCCUUCUACAAGGAAACACUCACGCUCUCCUGAAAAGAGUAGUGCGGGUCGCAAAAGGGCUUCUUCACAUGAACGCUCAUCUCCUCCUGUAAGAAGGAAGUCAUCAUCUGAGAAGGCAUCGUAUAGAGAUUCUCGCCAUAGAGACGACUCCCCGCGACGUACAUCUGUGUCACCUCGAAGGCGGGAUUCGCCACGUAGGAGGGACAGGUCAACAUCACGAUCACCUCCAAGGAAGAGGGACUCUUCGGGGCACAGAAGAGACCACCGUGGUAGAUCUCGAUCAAGGUCUCCCAGUGCAAGGGAUCAUUACCGCCGAUCACCAAGGUAUUGACUUACAUAAGUUGGUGUCAAAGGUUAGCUUCUCUUUAAAUUAUUUUGGCUUUUCGGAUAUUUCCCCUCUCUUAAUCAUGCUACUAUAUUUCAAAAUUAUUGUUUUUUCGACUUUGUAUUUCUUAUCAUCUUAAAUGGGACUUAUUUUUUUUGGGAUGACUAUUGAAUUCCAAUGCAAAAGUUUGCUGGAAUAACUGUGCAUAUACCAUGGUCAGCAUAUCUCAAUUUUGAAUUUUUAAUUUAAACAAUCACUUUGCAGAAAAAAAAAAAGAAGAAGAAAGUGCUAUUCUUUACUACAGCUAUUUAAAUUGUUAAAGCCCAUGUGAUCUGCUUACUUGUUUACUGGAAGUUCUGCUUUUGAUUUUGAGUAUUAUCUCAAACUCUUGGACCUAUUUAAGUUAAAGGUACAAUUCACGGUUGGAACUGAAGCAAUUGAGGAAUGAGAUUAAACAUGGCACCUUACCGGAAAGUUUAUUAACAGACUUAUUGAUGAAAAUCUGAGAACAUGUAUUUUCUAACGUUUCUAGCAUGUGACCGGGUAAAAUCCGUUUGAUUAUUUAGUAUUGUCUAUCUUUUUUCAUAUAAUUAAGGUACUCUUGUUUAUGAUGGCAGGAAAAGGCACUCACCCAGGCGAAGAUCCCCUCCAUCAAGUUACUAUUCUCGCCGACGUUCUCCCAGGAGACCUUGGUCACCACCCCCUAAUCGUAAUACUGGAAUAGGUAAGCCUGGAAGGAAUUUGUUUGUUGCAGGUUUUAGCUAUGUCACAACUGAGAGAGAUUUGGAGAGGAAAUUCUCAAGGUUUGGACGCGUAACAGAUGUUCGCAUUGUUCGUGAUAAAAGGUGACCUUGUUUUCUUUGGACUUUGCUAACUAUUAAGUUAUUCUUUUCAAGAUUUUUCUUCAUACCUAUAGCUAUCUUUGUUUAUUAAUCACACAAUAGAGUUAAUUUUUCUUGUUUGAAAAUAACUAGCUGCAUUAUGGCUAGACUCCUAUGGUUAGACUCCUAUGUUGUAAAAUUUUUUUCAUUCCAUAGAAAUAUGAAGUUAUCUGUUGUAUUAAGUAAUUUGCUGCAUUAUCUUGAUUGAUAUAUUACAGAUUUUUUUUGUUCUGAUGCCUAAAGAUGUCCACGGAAAAAACUAUUAAGACAACAAGUUGAUGCAACUCUCAAGUUCACUACAUUUGCUUUUUGGUAGUUUUUUAAUGCAAAAAUGGUUAUUAUUUGUGGUUGUUGUAGAGACACAAGCGAUAUCUCUGUGAUGUUCAUGUAUCUUCUUUGACACUUAGUACAUCUGUGAUAUUUUACUGUUACCUUCUUUUCAACCAAAUAUAUAUUUAUUAAGUUUAAAUAUUGACAGAGGCCUUGUGUCAUUCUUUUACUUUUGAAGUCCCUACAAAAUUAAUAUUUUCUCUUGUAGACUAAUUUAGAAUCGCCAAUCAGCUUUUAAGUCCUUCCCAUUGCAUUAUCUUGUACAUUGGUUCUCCUCCUUUCUCAUUAUUUGUGUGAUAUCCUCGUUCUACCAAACAUUUCCUAUUAACCUCCUGAACUGUAUACAAUAUUCUUUAUUCAGAGUAAAUGUAACGUAUGUUCUUAUGUGUACUCUUAAGAGUAGUGGAUCACAUCUUGUGUAUAAUUUUUUCUGCACUGUUUUCUCCAGUUAACUCCAUUGAAGUUGUCAUCCCUAUUGUUAAUCUGUGGAAGAAACUGUCUGAAGAACAUCUAUAGUUUUGCUUGAGUCCAAUAUUAGUGUAGGUAGAAAAACUCGAACCAUCUUUCUUCUUUUGGAGUUUUUAUGGGGAGCCCCAUGUUGUGUUCACUUCUUGCUAAUAGUCUUGGUCAAUUUCUUCUUGGUAUAGCUUAUAGACAUAAGACUCAUACAUAUUGCAAGAUUCAUCGUCUUAAUAAAAUUAUAUUUGCCUCCACAUUUAUCUGUUGAUGGUUCUCCUAUUCUUUGGAUUAUCUUGUAGAUAUUCUAACUAGCUGAUGUGGUUUUACUCCAUUAUGCUCAUAUGAAUUUCUCGUCUUGGUUUCUUUGCCGUAUGCUGUCCUCUGUAAAUCUUCUAUGCCCAUCUUCAUUAUUGAAGUUGCUUUUCUCUGUUGUGACAUUCAUAUAAUUUUGUGGAGGCUAGAAUUUAAGAUAGAUCAUCUAGAAGUAGACAUAUUAUGGUCAUUGUAGUUCAGAUCCGAGUUCAGAUCUACUUUGACGAAGAGAAGUAGAGAUCACGAAGAUCAGCUAAGUCAUGAAAGGAACUGACAUGAGAAUCAGUUUUAAUUUCGGCAGCAGAAUUCUUCGCUGUAAAUAAAAGUGCAGAAAAUAGAGAUGGAUAAAGAACUGGAACAUGCAAAAUUACACCAAAAUUUUUCAAUAUACAUGUGUAUUCUGCAUUGAGAAAGAAAUUCUGCAUUUGUAACCCACUAAUGCCCUAGUCUGUUUUUCACUGAAAAAAUGUACUGUAAUAUAAAGCUGGAGGAAGCUCCAUAUACUGGUAUUGUAACUCAUGAAGUUUGCUAUAACAAUUUGACAAUUCCAAGUAAGCUCGUUAAACUAGUCCUUCUAAGGAAAGUUGUGACUAUUAUUCCAAUUUAGUCUUUAAUCCAUCCUAUUAUGUAUUGUCAAAUCCCUGCAUUUUGAUUGCUUACUGCUUGACAUAAAUUCUUGUCUGCUCUUACAAGUACCCCUCGUCAUUUUGGUAUUCUAGGUUGGUAAGAUGGGAAUUAGAUCUUCAACAGUAUAAAGUUCAUGAAGGAUUGAAGGAUCCUACAUGAAUUUAAUCAUAAAUAGUGAGAUUUCUCUUAUUUUCUUCAGAAUCAAGAAAAUGAAGAACCAGAAACAUCAAGAUAUGUUAUAUUCAAUGCAAGAAUUCCCUUAUAGUUAGAAAUUUAUUCGGAGUCAUAACAAAAUUAAGUUUCAAAGUCUCCCACCUUCACCUGGUUGAGCACAUGUAUAAAUAAAAUAAAUAUGAGCUAGACUCCCGUUGGUACCUAACUCUAUAUUUUAUGCAGUUUACUUAUAAGUUUACAAUAUAAUGAAAUAUUAAGAAGUUACAAGUAUGAAAUACCAAUUGAUAAACAUUAUGUUUAAGUCUUUAUGCCUUCACCUAGUUGAGCAUGGGUAUCAAACUGACAAAAUAGACUAGACUCCAUUGGCUCUUGAUUCAAUAUAUUAAACUUUUUAAGUUUUAAAUUCACAAUAUUAAUGAAAUGUAAAAAAAAAAAAAGAGAAAGAAAUAAUACUCGUAUUGUUACUAGCAUUGGUAAAAUGCUGAGAAUGUAGACUGUUGAAGAAGAAUUUAAACAACAUGUGAGAUACUUUGAUUUCACUGGAAGCCACCAUGCAUGAGCUGAAGAGGUACCUUGUGUAUAACAGUUCAUGAUGUGUAUUGGUUAGUGCAUUCUCUGCUUGGAGAAUCAAAGAUUGGACUGGUUGAGCUGGAUCUUAACUGGUCAAACUACCAACAUGUUUUCUUUACAUUGUGGGCUUAUUUUACAUCUUAUAACUUGGACAACUUGCUUCUUAAGUUAUGUUUUCUUGCUUUCCAAUUAUCUAUUAGUGUUUGUGGCCUAUAAAUAUGCAGCCUCUGUUCAGUUCAUGAAAUUAAUAAAGUUUAGUUUGGGUAAGAGUAUUUUUUGAGUAGGAUUAGUGGUAAUUUUGUAUUAGAGUCAUCUGGACCCUCAAAGCAUCAAGAUGCAUAUUAGAGAGUGAUCUUACUCUAACAUCUGCUAUAACAUACACCCAUCUUUGACUGGCAGUGUGAUUGAAAGUUUUGCUCUAAUCUAAUCUGGUUGCCGGACAUAGAAACUCUAAAAUUGCCAUUACGGUCCAAAACUGCCAUAGAUAAUACUAAUGUCGGUAAACUUAUUGAGUGCUAAUUCGAAGUUGUUGAUUGUUUGAUUACCUAAGGACUUGAUACAUAUUUAUCACCAAAGGACUACUAGUAACCAUCUUUCUUUAGGUGUUCAAGGAGCAGCAUAGGCUGCUUUCCAAGAGAGAGAACAUUUCCAGCCUAUAAAGAAUGGCCUUUUCAAAACAAGAUUAUGGUGUUCUUUACAGAUAUCUUCAUUGUUUUUGUUUGUUUGUUUGUUUUUUUUUUUUUUUAAUUUCAUGUUUUGAAGUUGGCAAUUGGCAUAGUUUUUCUUUUGCGCAUAUAAACUUCAUAUUUGACUUAGUAUUAUCAAGCUUUCAAGCUUUAGAAGUUUACAUUGUAACCGCUGGACGUUAUCUGUUUGCAUAAAUAUCUCUGCAAAUCUGAAUAUGCAUAUAUUUACAUCAAAAACUUAAUUUUGUGCCUCUGUAUACCCUUAUCCUUCCUAAAAUGCUACUGUUAAAAAUUCAUUUCUGAUAAAAAAACCUACUUCCCCCAAGAUAUGGAUCCCCAACUUGAGAUGGGGAAAUGCCCUUUCGAUGGUUCAUACAAAAUAUUGGAUUUUAUUGGGGUAUAUAUAUAUAUAUAUAUAUAUAUAGUCCGGCUACUAUACUCUUAUGAGUACGAUCGCCUUCGUACUCAUAAAUCAUUUUCGAUGAUAGAGCUUCCGAAUCAACGAUCCAUAGCGUUAAAUGUUAUUUAGAGCAUUUAAAACUUCUAGAAAUCAAAUUUUAUAAUUUUUUGACAUCAUUUACCUUACGAUCAAAAGAUCUCAAAAUUGACAAUUUUUAACGACCAGUAUGGGAUACUUGCUACUUUAACGGUGUAAAAGAAUCGGAAUCGGUUGAAUUUUUGAUAGAAAAUUCUAUUCUCACAUCUUGAUAAAGAUCAAUAACUCCGAUCUUAAAUUGAAGGAUCCGAUCAUCCAUCUUUAAGAUGUCGUUCGAUUUUGACCGUUCAUUUUAUGCCCGCUUGAUUUACUUUAUUAUAAUUUCGAAAAAUUACGAAAUUUAUUUUUAAGAAGUUUCAAAUACUCUAGAUCAUAUUUAACGGAGUGGAUCGUCGAUUCAGAAGCUCCAUCAUCGAAAACAACUUAUGAGUACGAAGGGCUCUAUAUUCAUAAGAGUAUAGUAGCCCUACUCAUAUAUAUAUAUAUAUAUAUAUAGAGAGAGAGAGAGAGAGAGAGAGAGAGAGAGAGAGAGAGAGAAAGUUGAGCUGGAAUGCUAUUAGUAGCAAACGGGCUCCGUUACCACCCAUUUAUUUUCGAUGAUGAAGCCUUCAAAUCGGCGAUCGGCACAAUUGAAUAUAAUCUAUAGCACUUGAAGUAUCUAAAAAAUCAAAUUUCAAAUCUUUUCGACAUCAUUGACCUAAUGAUCAAAGGAUUUCAAAAUUUGUAAUUUUAAUGGUCGAUAUGAGGUGUUUUCUAGUUUAACGGUGAAAAGAUAUCCAAAUCAAUUGAAUUUGGUUAGAAAAUUUUUUAAACUGUUUAGAACAAGAUCUGGAACAAGGCUUCUAUCAUCACUUUUUAGAGGAUAUUCAUUUUCAGCCGUUCAUUUUUGUGUCCACUUUAUGGAUAAGAGAACAAUAUCGAAAAAGCAUAAAAUUUGAUUUCUAGAUACUUCAAGUGGUAUAGAUCAUGUUCAAUAGUGCUGAUCGUCGAUUUGAAGGCUCCAUCACGAAAACAAUGGGUGGCAUGGAGCCUAUUUGCUACCGAUAACAUUCCAGCUCAAUUUUAUACAUAUAUAUGUAUAUAUAUAUAUAUAUAUAUAUAUAUAUAUAUAUAUAUAUAUAUAUAUAUAAACAGAUGAUGAGGUGAAUAUGUGAAGGUCACUUUGACAUUUUAUCCACUGGUACAUGUUCUUCAUUCCUACUGUAUUUUUUUCUUUUGGCUGCGAUAACAUUUUCUGCUUGUAGGUCUGGGGAUUCUCGUGGCUUUGGGUUUUUAUCAUUGGAGAGGGAUGAAGAUGCAGAUGCAGCAAUACGUGCUUUAGAUCAGACUGAGUGGAACGGUCGGAUCGUCCUUGUGGAGAAAUCAAAGACGCCUGUACGCUGAAGAAGUUCCAUCUUCAAACAUUCACAGAGAGAGAGAGAGAGGACCAUUACAAUUUUCCCAGCAUUUCAUACCGAAUCUUCCCUUCAACCAUAUUACAUAAGUUGUGAACCUAUAUGGCAAGUAUUACUUUAACCCUAAAACUGGACUAUUGAUGUUGUACUAGGAUCUAUUUGUCUGCUUUAAAAAUUUUAAUAGUGAAUUUGAUAAUUACUAUGAACGUAAAAGAUAUGCUUGCGUGUCACGCUUAGAUAUUUAAUAGAAUGAGGGGAAUCUGUUCCUUCAAAUAAUACCUCUUGUGAACUCUUUCAGGUUACAGGAGCAGAUAGUACAUGAAAGUUAUCUGUCCCUUUUUAACUCUGCGAACCUCUACAUGAGUACCAUGAUUCACGAACACGUACCCUAUAGGAGCCCGCCAUCUCAUAACUGAUCAUUUUGGAGUUAUCAUACCUGCAAUGGAUAUGUUUGAUCGGUGAAAACGAUGUCUAUUUAUGAAACACGGAUCUUCUGGGUUAAUUACAAACUAAGCCUGAUUUCAAAUACAUUCUUUAGAGUUUAAAAUUUAACACUUUAGUCCCUGAAGUUUAUUUGAUGUAACAACUAAAUCCUUCCGUCCAGGUACUUGUUUAAAAGGUUAACAAAUCACCAUCAUCUGAGAAAAACUGUAGGCUAACGGAAAUACUUAGUUGUUACAUAGGACCAAUGUCAGGGACAAAUUUGUUAAUGUGGAAACUCUGAGGAUGUAGUUGGUGUCGUACUUCAAAAGUUAAAAGUGUAACUAACCCCUUUUUUUUCUUUCAUUUUUUUGCCUAUUAUUGGCUAUUUUCCUACUUUGUGUUCCAGACGUUCCUCUUGUGGUGCAGGGUUUGUCUAGUUUUAGAUACCUCAAAAUCAAGCUUGAUGUUCGGUCUUAUCCCUACUCCCAACUCUGUUUUGGCACUAUAGAAUCCUUGAAUGUUGAAUCUCGAACAACCUGCGGUGGAUUUACCAUAAUUGCUGUUGGUUUGCUUUUCUACAUCUUAUUCCUUGUGCUCUGAUGAGUGCCUGCACAAACAUUUUCUGUUGUUAACUGCACGAGCUUCCUAAUUGCAUUGUUAUUAUUUUGUUGUAUGUCUUCACUAAGUAUGUUAAGGGGGGUUUCUUUUGCUUCAGCUAUUGUCACUUGAAUACUAUAGAGGUUAUUGAUGUGGCUAGAACUUUUAUUUCCAGCACUAUUGACAUGUUUGAAAUAAUAGUUCUCAUCAAAUACAAUUGAUCAUCUUGGUAUUUUGUAGACAAAGUUUCGCUGCUUCUAUUGAUGGUACAUGACGUGCUGAACUAAAGCAGGAAAAGAUGUAUCUAAGUACUGUCUCUUAAUUGUCAUGUGACUUAAUCUGUUUUGAUUUGUGGCAACCAUACGUAAUUAACAGUUUAAUACAGGAGGGUAAUCAGUCUUCCAUAUACACUUAGUGAGAGUUUGUUUAUAGAUGGUAUGUAGGCUUUAGCAUGGCUUUUACAAGCUUUAUGAAACAGUUACAGCAAAUUCAUUCCGAAAGCUUUCUUUGAAUCAUUAUUUAAGUGUAGGUGCCAACGGAAUUAUAGGAAAUGCUAUAUUUUCCCUCUGGAUUAGUUUAAUAUGGUUUUCAUUGUAUGUAUAUUGGACUUGCACAUUGUCACAUCAUUUUAAUUCCUUAUUUUUACGGUGUUUCGUGACGCGUUUAUGGCUUGGGAUCAAGUAAAUGUUUUUUCUCAGUAGUUGCUUGGAUGAGAAUGAAUUGCUUCGAUUUUGAUUAAUAUUAAUUUUGAUUAAUAUUAGUUCUACAUCAUUUGGGAUUUAGUUCAGUUACGCCCCACUUGUGUUUUAAGAUUUUGAAAUGAUUUUUCUUUGAUUAAGCCCUAAUUAUAUUAGUUAUGGUUUAAAAAGGAUGGACUCUAAUACUGUGGGGUUUUUAUAACUUCUCCAGUUACGUAUCUUAUUGCAUAUGGUGAUUCCUCUCGAACUGUAUGACUAAAAAGAGUCUUAAAGAGUUUGAAAUUGUUUUUAUUUAUCCUCUAUUUCGAAUUGUUUGGGGUUUAUAUUCCUUAGUCUGAGGGCAUAGAAGAAAUUGGUUUAAAGAAUUUUCCUUUCGAAUCUUUGUAUUCAGUUUGUGUCAUCAUCCUCUCGAAUAACUAUUUGUUGCGAGGUAAAGUUCAUGUUAUACUGGUAAUUAGGAUUUACAGGCAAGUAGCAAUGCUGAAAAAUUCUUGUGUCAAUUGCAUAAUUUGUAUGGAAUGUUUGUGUAGGAGGUGCAUAAUUAGUACAUUACCUGUCACAAAACAGAGUUAUGUAGGACUUGCAUUAUUUUUUGGCUGUUGCAAUGAUUCUUUUUUAAUAGUGGGCAAGGAUUAGCAGGGUGUUUGUAGUCAGAAAAUAUCUGUGAGGGGAUUAUUUGUUUCUUUGAGGGCUUGGAAAUGUUGAUGGAAUGAGAACAGCAAGAUGCUGAAACAGAAUAAGAGAAAGCAUUAAUCUGUCUGCUUCUUCCCUGUUUAAGGUAAACUAAGUUUUGUGUAGAAGAAAGAUUUCUAUAAGGAGCUUCCUUUAGAAGCUAUUAUAAGAAUUUUGAUGCUUUUUAUCUAGCUAGUCCUUUCAAAUUCAUUUAUUGCGGUAAGGUUUACUUUAUUCAUUUUCCUUUUUGUUUUGCUUCAAUUCUUUUACAAUUAAACUUAAAAUGUAAAAUAAUUAGGUUUCAAACUUAGAACCUCGAAUAUCAACCAGCAAGCUUUAGUUGAUUGGACGAGAAAAAAUAGGAAUGUUGGAUGGAGUGCUCUUGAAGGAGAAAUGUGUCUGGAUGGGUCUAUCGUUCUGCCGUUUUCUUGCAUUUGCUUUCAGCUGCAGCCGUCUUUAAAUAAACAUUAGCAAUAAGGAAUUGAAGAAAAUAAAAAGGGAAAACUUCAAAAACCCCUCGUGUGGUUUCGUAGUUUCUCACUUUGGCCCCCUGCGGUUUAAAAUGUAUUAAAUUGCCUCCCUAUGGUUUCGUUUUUUUCUUUUCGGUAAUUUUUUCGUUAAUAUUUUAUUAAAUUAUAUAUAAAAAAUUUCAGAUAUUCAUCUAGAUUUAUCAAAUAUUUACUUUAGUACUCUUUAAUUUUAACUUCAUCACUAAUUUAAGAAAAAAAGAUAAUGAAAUUGAUAAGAAAAAGGGAAGAAAGAAAUCACGGGGGGGGGGGCCAAAUUGAUACAUUUUAAACUACGGGGGGCAAAGUGAGAAACUACGAAACCACACGGGGGGUUUUUGAAGUUUUCCCAAAUAAAAAUGCCAUGUUGAGGUCCAAAAACAAAACAUUUCAUUUUUGUGCUUUUGAUUGUACAGCUGUAGGAAGAAACUUAUGUAUUGUUUUUUUUUUCCCUAAUUGCACUUUUCAGACAAGCUCUUCAUUGUGUAGCGCUCCAUUAUCUUUUCUCUCAUGCUCUCUCUCUUAUCUGAUACUCUCCCUUCUUUUUCUUUGAUCUUCAUGGUGCUACCUAAUUAGUAGGAAGUGAACAUAGCUUUGAGAGAUAUUUAUUGUGUCAUACAUUAAUUCCUAAGCGGAGGUUUCCUAGAUUUUUUUUUUUUUUNCAACAAACUAUUUUUAUUUAUAAAAUAAAUUCUUUAACAAAUGUGAAAAAAAAAAUAUCAGAAGAAACAAAGUAAAUACUUUAGUACAACAUACUUGGCUUUAUUAAAUGCAUAAACCAACCGAAACAGAAAAUUUAAAAAAAAGGAAAAAAAUGUAAACUAUACCGAGUAGACAAGUUUUUAGUAACUAAAAUAGAAGGAGACGGUUUUGUUUGGUUUUACUAUUUUUGUGUUUAACUCAAUUAUGAAGCCGUUAUUCAAUUUCUUUAGUACUUAGGCUUCAUUUGGGAUUGUGGAAAAAUUACGUUACGUGCGGUCGGAAAGGACAAAAGAAACAUAUUCUGUUUAUUUCCGUACAUAAUAUUGCGUUCCGCAUAUUGCGAUUAGCUGGUUACGAUAUAUUUUCUACUGUUCCAUCGGAGAAUGCAGAAGUAUAUCCUUAUACAUUUUUUUCUCAACUCCAUUUAAUUUAAUAGCGUUAGAUAGACCUCAAUACCAAACUAAGUCUUAAAAAUAUCAAAGUUAUUUUGCUGACAGAAACAUGUCGUCAAAACUAUAACAAUUUUACUAAAUAGCGUGUAAAAAGAAAAAAAAAGUAAGAUAAUAAUUUAAGAAGAGAAAGCAAAAAAAAUAAUUUAAUAAAGAAAUCAAUACCUUGGGAUGAAAAUGUUGACAAUCAAUAAUAAAACAUUUUGUAAGCUUUGGGGUAAUUAAUAUACUUUUUCUAGAAACAUUGAAAAUUAUUUUAACUUAAACUUAGCUAUUGUCAUUUAAUAAAUAAGAAAAUUACUUUCAUUUAAUAAAUAAUAAAAUGGGCCCAGAUUUCCUUAUUUGAGUCCAUUUUCAAAGAUGAGGAUAAAAAAAGCAUUCCCAUCUAAUAAAUUUAAUAAAUAAAAUAAAAUGGUGGGCCCCACAUUCCUUGAGUCAAGGAGAAGGCUUCGAAAGGUUCUCAAUUAGUAAGUUUAUAAAUAAAUUGUCUAGAACUCAAGGCAUAAAAUUAUCUUAUAGUUCAAUAUACAAAAUAAAGUGAGGCUGGUAUGCUUUUGGAAGUAUAGAGCCCUUCGUACUUUUAAGUCAUUUUUGAUGUUGGGACUUCGAAUCAACGAUCAACUCCGCUAGAUUUGAUCGAGAGUAUUUGAAGUACCUAAAAAAUAAAGUAUGUGAUUUUUUAACAUCAUUUGUCCAGUGAUCAAAGGGGUUCAAAAUCAAUAAUUUUAAUGGUCGUGGUGAGCCGUUUGCAAGUUUAACGGUGUAGAAAUAUCUAAAUCACAUAAAAUUUUGAUAGAAAAUUGUUUAUACUAUAUAAAAUAAGAUCAAUAUUUUUUAUCUAAAAUUUUAAUGUCAUAUCAUCAUAUUUUGUAACAUUUUUAUUUUUAGCCAUUGAUUUUGAGCACUUUCGAUCAUUAGGCAAAUGCUAUCAAAAAAUUGUGAAAUUUAUUUUCUAAAUACUUUAAAUACUCUAAAUUAAGUCUAACGGAGCCGAUCGUCGAUCUGAAAGUCCCAAUAUUGAAAACGAUUUGGAAGCACAGAGAGCUCCGUGCUUUCCGAAGCAUACCGGCCACACUCUACAAAAUAAAUGUAUGAAAUGCAAUAGUAUAUUAGUAAGAAAAAUGAUUUGUUUGUUGAUAUAUAUCUAAACUUGUAAGGAAUAUCCAUUUUUAUUUGUGGGUCGGCUUGAUUAUGUGGGGAUAAUGGCCCGAUGGCCUAAAAUACAUAUACAUACAAUUAAAAUACAUAUUAUAUAUAAUUGAAAUACAUAUUACAUAUAAUUAUAUAUAUAUAUAUAUAUUUAUAAAUAAUUUUAAUAUACAUAUAUAUAUAUAUAUAAAUAUAUUAGAGCUUUUUGCUUGUAAGUCGAACGAGUUUAGUAAUGCUCAAGCCCGGCUUGAAAUUAAUUUCGAGUUAUUUUGUUUAUUCCUGUUCAAGCUCAGCUCAUCUAAUUACGAGUCGAGCUCAAGCAAUCCGAAUACUAAGCCGAACAUGACGGCUCACUCACUUGCCAGCCCUAUUAUUUAUGGAGGUUUUUUUGCAUAGUAGUCCACAAAAUCUUUUUAUAUUGCUAAUAACUCCUCUAACGCUUACUAUUGCAUGCUACUCCCCCAAUCAACCUAUUCUAUGCAUAUUAGCCCCUCAAGUUUAAGUUUAAUAGCUAGUCUAAGAAAUAUUUCAAAAAUAAACUUUACCAAUGCUAAUCUCUCAAUAAGACACUAAUAGGAGAGCUGAGCACCUAGGCUUUUAAAAGCACAGGAGCAUUUAUGCUUAUAACUUUUCAGCCGUUGAAUGAGCUCAAGAUCAGUACAAUAUUAUUAACGGUGUGCCCCCAUUAAGUCCUUUUUAUUAGUACUGUACGGAUCUCGAAACGAUUCGACUGCUGAAAAAUCACAAGCACGUUGAAUUCCUGUGCUUAUAAAAGCGCGGGAGCUCAACUCCUAAUAGGAUGACAAUUCUACCCCGCAAACCUAUGUAACUAAUGGCGUCAUUCAAAGCAUUCCCCAAUAAAUUCUCAAAUAACCCCACCAGCUCCCCUGUUCAUUUCUCAGCCUCUAUGACCCUUCAAAUGGCAAAGAACAGGUACAAAAUACAAACUAGAAUGUAAGAUCUAAUUAAGAUUGACAAAAUAAAGAGCAGGAACUAAUUUCCACUAAACUAGCGAUUUGAAGGUUUCGAUUUCUUCGUAGAAUGUUCUUGGGAUGAAGACAUGAUGAUAUUCAGAGAUAUAUAAACCAUUUUGAAGCUGAGGGGAGAGUACAGAAGGUAGAAUGGGAUGUCAGAAGGAAGAUAGUCAGAAAAGACACUGAGGAGUGUUCUUUUCAUCUCCUAAAGGACCGACCGACGUCAUCCGAAUAACAAAGUUUUGAAGGACUCAUAUGCAAUAUUAAAAGGUUUCAGACACUUAUGUGCUAAAAUCCCUCCGACUAAAUAGCAGGGUUGAUUAUACACCAUUGCCCUUCAACGUACUUCGAGUUCGAAAACCUGAGAUUCAUCAGUUGCUUACGAAAUUCUAGAGCAGUGUCGCAGUUUGUUCCGAAUAACUGUUUUCAUUUCAGUAGGACAAUUCAUAGCCUGAAGAAAAGGAAAAGAAAUAGCAAACAGUACAUAUCGAUACAGGACUCACCUUCAUUAGUUAACUAGCAAUCGACGACGACGUAUAAUCAUAUCACUCAGUCAUAACACAUACCUCUUUGGAGAACACCUCGGUUACUAUUCUCAACGCUCCUUCCCCUUUAGAGGUAUUUGAAUUCUUUGUCUAACUUUAGUAUCAAAGUUCUGCCCAAAGCCCGACAAUUCGUAGGCUUUAUCUUAAAAUCUGCUGCCAGUAAAAGCAAAUACUAAGGAAACGAAAAAAGAAAAAGAAAAAGAAAAAGGUUAUUACUUGCAGCCUACUUCUUUCCUGUGCUCUCUUCUUCACCCUCUCGACCGCAUUUCAGAUGUAUCUCAUAACCGCAACCAAGACAUUGGUAUGCCCAACCCAAUCCUUGCUCGUUACACUCGCAACACAUAUAAGGGCCGCCGCCUGAUUUCUCAGACACCAAAUUAAGCACAUGAUGGUGACCCACGUGGUCGAAAGAGCUCGGAUAAGCCUUGGCUUCUUCAUUUUGCUUUUCCUGGAGCAAUCGCAGUUGCAGUUCAGUAAAAGGAAAAGCCAGUUCAGAGUGCAGGUUUAUUAGACUUCUCCCUUCUUUUGUAACCGUCUUUCCGUCAGGACCAAUUAUGACAAGAGUAGGUAUUUCUUGCACAUCAAAAUAUCGGGCUAAAGCCCUCGAGAACUCUUCGUCAUAUGGUAAUGCAAGCCACGGCAUGCUAUCAAAACAUUGCAAGUAGUCAUCAAUGUUUUUAUCCAUGGAAACAAACACAACCUCAAAAUUUUCAUUCUUUUCUCUCAAGUUGGCAUAUACGGAUGCCAAUUUUGCAGUAAAUUUCACACAAGGAGGACACGGUUGAGCAGAGAAGUAUAAUCCUACUGUUUUUCCCACCAAAUUCGACAGUUUAACAUUUUUCCCAUGAUUAUUCACAUAAUCUCUACCCUCUAUUGAGAGGAGCAUCUCUAAGGUUUGAGACGAGUGUUUCAGUCUCUCCUCCUCCACCAACUCAGCUAUCCUUUCUGAGGUGAAGGGGAAAGCGCGCGCCCCAUAGCGACACACAAGCUCGACACCAUCCGUGCUUACUAGUUCUCCAUUUGGUCCGAGUACGACGAGAGAUGGAAUCCCUUCGAUUUGAAACCUUUGGGUUAGGUAUCUCCUAGAACGGAGAUCGGUAAACGGUACGGCGAGCCAUGGCAUUGAGCGGUGGAACCGAUCGAAUGACGCCUGAUCCUCGUCAGAAGACACGAACACGACCUCGAAUCCGGAGCCUUCUUCUUUGAGUUGAUGGUACACCUUGUGCAGAACCGGGGUGAAGGUCUCGCAUUUCCAGUACCAGUUCGCGGCAAAGUACAAUCCUACGGACUUUCCUUGCAUUUCUUUAAGAUCGACCUGCAAUCUUUCCGUUUUGUGAAUACUUUACGCACAUUAGGAAAGUUAAAAGAGAAGAGGAUGAUUGACAUUCCAUUUAAGCAUUCAUUUCUAUUGUUCGCAACUUGAGCUAACCAGAAAAAGUUUCUUGAGCCUGAAGAACAGCAUGAAUUAGAUGGGUCUCACACAAAUUCUCAAAUCACACUACUCUUUAAGAACUACAGUGAUGAAUAUUCCUUUUAAAUUCAAAAAUUGAGACGAAAAUCAAGAUUUUAACCGGUGUACUCUAAAAGUUUAAGCUAUUAGAGAACGGCAUUUAUGUAUUUUAUAUUCAACAAAAUGAAACAGUGAAAACUCCAUCUAAUAAGUUUGAAGAAAGCGCUGUGUUAAUAUAUUUUAUAUUCAACAAAAUGAAACAGCAAAAACUCCAUCUAAUAAGUUAGAAGAAAAGUUGUUGAUUAAUAUAUAUAUAUAGAGUGUUGGAAGGGUGAUUUGCUCUGAUACCACUUGUAGGAAGCUUGAUUUGCUCUGAUACCAAUUAUAUAACCCAAGAUCUAAGAUAAAAUAAAAUAAUAUGGAGAAGAGAUAUUGGAAGAGGAAGAAGAAAAGUAAACUAAUACUCUAUUAAUAAAAAGCAAGAUGAAACCCAUGUAGCCAUGUCUACUGUGACUUAUUCCUCUAAUUAACCCAUGUCUAAUUAUAUAUAGCUAUCAAAUCAUAACAGAUAAUAAAUGCAACUUUUACUUUGGAUAAUUACAAAUUCCAAUCAUAAUCAAAUAAAAGACUUAAACUUAUCUCUAACUAUAUUUUAAUUAAGUUUGGAUUACUAUUCCAACAUGGAGUCCGGCUAUGGUGCUUGUAAAAGUUGCAUUUAUUAUCUGUUAUGAUUUGAUAGCUAUAUAUAGUUAGGCAUGGCUUAAUUAGAAAAUAAGUCAUAAUAGACAUGGCUGAGGAUGUCAUAUAGAAUGUAAUUAAUUGCUUAUUAUUUUAGUUAUCUUCUUCUUUCUCCAAUAUCCCAUCUCCAUAUUAUUUUGUUCUAUUUUAGAUCUUGGGUUAUAUAAUCGGUAUCAACACAAAUACCGGUUCCAACAAUUGGUAUUAGAGAAAAUGACACUUCCCAACAAUUAGUAUCAGAGCCGGAAAGUANUAUAUAUAUAUAUAUAUAUAUAUAUAUAUAUAUAUAUAUAUAUAUAUAUAUAUAUAUCAAUGUUUGAAAAGGGGCGCGCGCCCUAGCACCUAGGCGCAAGGCACGAGUCUCGGCAUCUCAAGGAGUGAGGCACGCACCUCAGACACGUCUCAAACACACCUCGUGAUAUUUACGUUUAAUGUGUCUAGAGUUUGGGUUUUCGAAUUUUGAAUUUCUUCAAUAUAUUCUAAAAUGUUAAGAAUUUUUCUAAAAAAAUUUUAAUUAAACGUUUUUUUUUCCUUUUUCUCUUGGUCGUUCUCUUUUCCACCCCCCAAUGGCAAUAAGUAGCAGCGACAAGAAACAAGAAGCAGCAGCAAGCACUUUUAAGUUGAAAGUUAAAAUAUAAUUUUUUUAUUUUUAGGCUGAGAAUAUUUAUGCAUGCGAUUUUUUUACUUUUUAUGGUUAUUUUGUUUUUGUAUAACUAUUUUAGAAGUUUUUAACAUAAAACAUUCAUUUAAAAUAGGCUUGAUAAGAGUGUUUUAUUUUUUAUUAGAUGUGAGCCUCACCUUCUUGAGGCGCAUGCCACGUAGUGCGCCUCACGCCUAGGCUCCAUAAGGCCUUUGUGCUUUUUUGCGUCUUACGCCUUUUCAAACACUGAUAUAUAUAUAUAUAUAUAUAUAUGGUGGGCUGGUAUGCUUCUGGAAGCACAGAGCCUUCCGUGCUUCCAAGUCGUUUUCGAUGUUGGGACUUUCGAAUCGACAAACGGCUCCGUUACACUUGAUCUAGAGUAUUUGAAGUACCUAGAAAAUAAAUUUUGUGAUUUUUCGAUAUCAUUUGCCUAGUGAUCGAAGGGACUCAAAAUCAAUAAUUUUAACGGCCGUAGUGAGUCGUUUGCAAGUUUAACGGUGUAGAAAUAUCCAAAUCACGUGAAAUUUUGAUAGAAAAUUCUCUAUACUAUAUAAAACAAGAUCAAUAACUUCGAUCUAAAAUUUUAAUGUCAUAUCAUCAUAUUUUGUAAGAUUUUUAUUUUCAGCCGUUGAUUUUGAACCCCUUCGAUCACUAGGCAAAUGAUAUCGAAAAAUCACAAAAUUUAUUUUCGGGGUAAUUCAAAUACUCUAGAUCAAAUCUAACGGAUCCGAUCGUCGAUUCGAAAGUCCUAACAUCGAAAACGACUUUAAAGCACGGAGCGCUCCGUGCUUCCAGAAGCAUACCAGACGCACUCAUAUAUAUAUAUAUAAUAUAUAUAUAUAUAUAUAUAUAUAUAUAUAUAUUAUAUAAUAUAAUAGGCUAGGCUACUAUCCAUUAAUAGGAUAGUAGCACUUGUCCUAUAAAAUGGUUCUUGAUGAUAGAAAUUCCGAAUCGAUGAUCGGAGCGUUGAAGUUAAUCUAGAGUAUUUGAAAUAUCUAGAAACUAAAUUUCAUAAUUUUAAAAAUUAUUUAUAUGGUGAUCAAAGUGUCGUAAAAUCGCAAUUUUUGACAGCUAUAUAAGCCGUUUGCUUGUUUAACGCGUGUAGAGCAAUCCAAAUUGCUUGAAUUUUUAUAGAAAAUUAUUUAUACUAUUAGAUAAUGUUUGAUAACUCUGAUUAUGAAUUGAGAAAGUCUAACCUCUAUUUUAAGAAGGCUAUUCUAUUAUAACCGUUCAUUUUUUCAACUCUUAAGAUGAACUUGAUAAUGAUUUUUAAAUAUUACAAAAUUAGUUUCUAAACAUUUCUAAUUGUGUAGAUCAAUUUCAACGGUGCCGAUUAUUAAUUUGAGUUCCGAUCAUACAAAACGACUUGAUAGGACAAGUCUCCUAUCCUACUAAUAGGAAAGUAGCCGACUAUAUAUAUAAUUAUAUAUAUAUAUAUAUAUAUAUAUAUAUAUAUAUAUAUAUACACACAAACCAGGCUAGAAUGCUAUUAAUAGCACCAAGUCAUUGGUGCUAUUAAGUUUUCGGCCCUUGGAUAAAGGGUUGUAGGUUAUGAUGAUAGUGGUCCCCUAGGGUUGAAUGGGUGGUUUGUCGAAUAGUAUGAUCUAACGGGUAGAAAUGAUCAAAGGGUAGAUUUAACGGCAGAAAACUUGGUGGCACCAACACCAAGUGCUUGGUGUUAUCGAUAGCAUUGUAGCCGGGCUCAUAUAUAUACAUGAUUUUAUCAAGAAUGAAAUAUUUCUACAUAUAUACAUAGACCUUAUGGGAGCUUUCUAAACAUGGUUUGAAAGCAACUCCAAAGGAUUUUUACAUAGUAUGUUUUGAAUUGUUUACUAUUUCAUCUUUUAUCUCACUUUCCUUGUCCUUAGAAAUAACUAUUUCAUCCUACAAAUAAAUCAAAAAGAAACAAAACCACAACACAACUCAUAUUUGACUCUGCCCUCUUUUCUUUUUAUUUUUCUUUUUUAUGGGCUUCACAUGUGAAAAACAAGGAUGGGAGGGUUAGAGAAUUUUUUUUUUUUUUUUUUUUUUUUUUUUUUUUUUUUUUUUUUUUUUUUUUUUUUUUUUUUUUUGUG
rnacentral:lncRNA from 1 species